rnacentral:rRNA from 1 species
UACGGGAGGCAGCAGUGGGGAAUAUUGGACAAUGGGGGAAACCCUGAUCCAGCGACGCCGCGUGAAGGAAGAAGGCCUUCGGGUUGUAAACUUCAGUCAGCAGGGAAGAAUAAAUGACGGUACCUGCAGGGGAAGCCACGGCUAACUACGUGCCAGCAGCCGCGGUAAUAAGGGCGAAUUCGUUUAA